rnacentral:rRNA from 1 species
UGAGUAACCUGCCCUUAACUCUGGGAUAAGCCUGGGAAACUGGGUCUAAUACCGUAUAUGACUCCUCAUCGCAUGGUGGGGGGUGGAAAGCUUUAUUGUGGUUUUGGAUGGACUCGCGGCCUAUCAGCUUGUUGGUGAGGUAAUGGCUCACCAAGGCGACGACGGGUAGCCGGCCUGAGAGGGUGACCGGCCACACUGGGACUGAGACACGGCCCAGACUCCUACGGGAGCAG